rnacentral:tRNA from 1 species
GACGCUGUGGCCUGAUGGUAGCGCGUUGGACUUCGGAUCGAGCGGUCUGGGUUCGAGCGCUGGUCGGGGUCA